UACGGAGGGUGCGAGCGUUGUCCGGGAUCACUGGGCGUAAAGGGCGCGUAGGCGGCCUGAUAAGUAGGGGGUGAAAUCUUGCGGCUUAACCGCAAGGCUGCCUUCUAAACUGUCAGGCUAGAGCACAGUAGAGGCAGGUGGAAUUCCCGGUGUAGCGGUGGAAUGCGUAGAGAUCGGGAAGAACAUCAGUGGCGAAGGCGGCCUGCUGGGCUGUUGCUGACGCUGAGGCGCGACAGCGUGGGGAGCAACAGG
rnacentral:rRNA from 1 species